GGGGCAGCAUGAACUUAGCUUGCUAAGUUUGAUGGCGACCGGCGCACGGGUGAGUAACACGUAUCCAACCUGCCGAUGACUCGGGGAUAGCCUUUCGAAAGAAAGAUUAAUACCCGAUGGCAUAGUUCUUCCGCAUGGUGGAACUAUUAAAGAAUUUCGGUCAUCGAUGGGGAUGCGUUCCAUUAGGUUGUUGGCGGGGUAACGGCCCACCAAGCCUUCGAUGGAUAGGGGUUCUGAGAGGAAGGUCCCCCACAUUGGAACUGAGACACGGUCCAAACUCCUACGGGAGGCAGCAGUGAGGAAUAUUGGUCAAUGGACGAGAGUCUGAACCAGCCAAGUAGCGUGAAGGAUGACUGCCCUAUGGGUUGUAAACUUCUUUUAUACGGGAAUAAAGUGAGGCACGUGUGCCUUUUUGUAUGUACCGUAUGAAUAAGGAUCGGCUAACUCCGUGCCAGCAGCCGCGGUAAUACGGAGGAUCCGAGCGUUAUCCGGAUUUAUUGGGUUUAAAGGGAGCGUAGGCGGACGCUUAAGUCAGUUGUGAAAGUUUGCGGCUCAACCGUAAAAUUGCAGUUGAUACUGGGUGUCUUGAGUACAGUAGAGGCAGGCGGAAUUCGUGGUGUAGCGGUGAAAUGCUUAGAUAUCACGAAGAACUCCGAUUGCGAAGGCAGCUUGCUGGACUGUAACUGACGCUGAUGCUCGAAAGUGUGGGUAUCAAACAGGAUUAGAUACCCUGGUAGUCCACACAGUAAACGAUGAAUACUCGCUGUUUGCGAUAUACAGUAAGCGGGCCAAGCGAAAGCGUUAAGU
rnacentral:rRNA from 1 species